GGAUGCGAUCAUACCAGCACUAAAGCACCGGAUCCCAUCAGAACUUUGAAGUUAAGCGUGCUUGGGCGAGAGUAGUACUAGGAUGGGUGACCUUCUAGGAAGUCCUCAUGUUGUAUUCC
rnacentral:rRNA from 1 species